UUACGGCUAUACCACGUUGAAACAUCGGUUCCUCUGCGAUCACCGAAGUUAAGCAACGCCGAGCCUGGUCAGUAUCUAGAUAGGUGAUCGCUUCGGAAUACCAG